rnacentral:rRNA from 1 species
UACGUAGGGGGCGAGCGUUGUCCGGAUUUAUUGGGCGUAAAGAGCUCGUAGGCGGUUUGGCAAGUCGGGUGUGAAAACUCCGGGCUCAACUCGGAGACGCCACUCGAUACUGCCAUGACUCGAGUCCGGUAGGGGAGUGCGGAAUUCCUGGUGUAGCGGUGGAAUGCGCAGAUAUCAGGAGGAACACCGGUGGCGAAGGCAGGUCACUGGGCCGCAACUGACGCUGAGGAGCGAAAGCAUGGGGAGCGAACAGG